rnacentral:rRNA from 1 species
AGGGAAUAUUGGUCAAUGGAGGCAACUCUGAACCAGCCAUGCCGCGUGCAGGAUGAAGGCCCUCUGGGUUGUAAACUGCUUUUAUUAGGGAAGAAAUCUGAGGAUUCAUCCACAGUUGACGGUACCUAAGGAAUAAGCACCGGCUAACUCCGUGCCAGCAGCCGCGGUAAUACGGAGGGUGCAAGCGUUAUCCGGAUUCACUGGGUUUAAAGGGUGCGUAGGUGGAAUUGUAAGUCAGUGGUGAAAGCCCCGAGCUUAACUUGGGAAUUGCCAUUGAUACUGCUUUUCUUGAAUACGGUUGAGGUGAGUAGAAUAUGUCAUGUAGUGGUGAAAUACUUAGAUAUGACAUAGAAUACCGAUUGCGAAGGCAGCUCACUAAGCCGUUAUUGACGCUGAGGCACGAAAGCGUGGGGAUCAAAC